rnacentral:lncRNA from 1 species
CACUUCUGUUAUCUGAAUAUACCACAACUUGUUUAUCCAUUCACCUCCUUUUUUUUUUUUUUUGAGCGGGGUGGGAGGCUUUUAUUUCACUGUGUGUCGGUGGAGGGGGUCUGGAGAGAGGGCAGCAGGCAGGGCAGGAGGGGCUGGAAGGUGGAAAGGGGCUGGGCAGGGGGAGGGCUGCCCCCAGGCCUGUUGGGAAGAGGAUACUGGGACUGAUCCCUGCUGGGACCUCACCCUGGGGGUGGGGUGGGAAUCGGGUCUGGAGCAAUAAGGGCCCCCUUGCUCCGGGCUGGAUGUGAGGUCAGGGCCCUGCCUUGCUUUCCUCCAAUAGGGCUCAGUCCCUCCUGCUCGUGGGGCCAUGUGACCCCCAAACCUCACUGCCCCUGCCCCAGAGGAGGGGGCUAGGCCAGUUAGGGCAGUGGAUAGGGAGCCUGGGGGUGUUAGGGAGCACAGGGUGGGGGUCCACGGUGAGUGGAGGGGAUGGUGGCCACCUGGGCGGUCAGUUCCUGGCAGCAAUGACCACAGAGAGAGCCACGCCCCCCAAGGCGACAGCAGUUGCCCCAAACAGCCACUUCCAUGGGAUGGACCAGGCACCCUUGCCAGGACACUUGGCAGGCAGCCGGCUGGGGUUGCCCAGCAUCUUCCAGUACAGGGCGGUCUCAGUGCUCCUCUGGGCCGCAUGCUUCUUCACCAGCUUCAGGGCUGCUCUCAAGAUGGGGAUGGCCUCACUAUACUCGCCUUGCUGGGCCAGCACCUUGCCCUUGCGGAAGAGAGCCUUGAUGUUGUCAGGCUGGUGCUCCAGCACGAGGCUGCAGGAGCGCAGCAAUGCGCGGUAGUGAUCCAGCUUCAGCUUCGAGGCCGCCAGGUUGUUCAGACACUUCACCUUCAGCUGCAGGAGCUGCUCCUCCUCCUCGAAUGUCAUGUCCACUUUGGCACUGGAAGUGAUGGCCUUGAUGGCGAGGUCGUAGGAGUUGGCAGCCAGCACGAUGUCGGCCCGCUGAUAGUGAGCAUUGCCACACUCCCACUUCCGGUUGGCCAGGGCCACACGCUCCUGCCCCGUGAGCAUCUCCAGGUCAGGCCCAUCCACAGCAGUCUUCAGAGUCACCUCCAGGCACAGGGCCGCAUGUGGGGGGAUGUAUGGGCUCCUGCUGCCCUGGGGGCCAUAGCAGUACUUGGAGUCAGCAGUGACCAUAGCCGUCUCCCCCACGUCCAUGAACGGGACACUGAAAUCCAGGGCCUGGAUGACGUCACAGUCGCCCAGGGUGAACACCAGCUCCGGCUCCUCCUGUACCCGCGUGCCAUUCUCCAGCGACGUCUGCAGCCGCACAGUGACCACCUGGCCCUUGGUCGGGCGGCUGGAGCCCGGUGGGCCUGGAACCAGCGUCUUCUUCCUCAACAGCCCAUUCCCCAGGAUGUCCAGCCACUCGUCGGGGGCCGGGGCAGGUUCAGGCUCGGGCUCCAUGGCGGCCAGGAACUCUCGGGCCAGGGCCCCGGGCUGCUCAGCCUCCUCCAGUGGGGGCUGCCCCACAUCCUCAAGUGGCGGCAGUUCACUCAGGUCCUCCUCUUCUUCCUCCUCCUCGCCCUCAGCGUCUUCCACCCCGUCCAGCACCUCGAAGUCCUCAAGUGGUGGGACCCCAGCAGGUGGCGGAGCAGUGGACUCAGGGUCUGCAGCAGAGGGCUCAGCACAGGAUGCCAUGCUGCUGGGGGGAUGGGAACUGGCCCUCCCUCGCGGCCCUUCACCCCACCUAGCAGUCGCAGCCCCUCACCCCGCCUAGCAGUCGCAGCCCCUAGACUAGCC